GGUUUGCCUUAGCCCCUCAUUUUUUACCUUGCACUCUUUAGCUGCACUCAACACUCAAUCUAGAGUUCUCUCACUUUCCCCUUUCAUUCCAUCACCAAAAAAAAAUCCUCUUUUCCUCUUGUGCAUUUUCUAAGUUUGCUCCUCAUUCAAAUAUGGCAUCUUCCUCAGGCAAGCGGAUAAAGACCAUUGCCACAAACAUAGAAAGAGGAAAGAAGAGGAAAGAGCAAGUGUACUCCAGCAACUCUCUCCUAUGCAUGAGAGACACUUCCAGACAAUGCAAAACAGAAGGCUACUAAUGGAGAGAAAGGUAGGAUUAAUACCUACCGUGGCUCCUCAGUUUGAGAGGGAACUUGGAAGAAGGCAGUGGGAGAACUUGGCUUCUUAUCCGGCACUUGCCAACAUAGUUGUUGCGAAGGAAUUUUACAUGAAUGCAAGGGCAUUCGGUGAUUAUCAUCGGGAGGCAUACACUAGCUAUGUGAGGGGGAAAAGAAUACCUUAUGAUGUUGUUACAAUUAACAGGGUUUUAGGCAUUGAAUGAACUAGGGAUUAGUGCCAGUUUGCUUCAGCCAUAGACGAGGAUAUUGAUUAUGCUUAUGUGGAGAGGGUUUUGUGAGUUCCAGGUGGCCAUUUUUAGAGGAAUAGGCAGGAGUCACAUAUUCACAUUAGGAGAUCAUAUCUGACACCCCUGGCAAAAUAUUGGAUGACAUUUACACAUGCCAACAUCCUUUCAGAACCGCGGCCUAUUCCCCUGCAAAAUUUUGACAUUCCCCUUAAAAGCAGUUCAGAAAUAUAAUUGCAGGGGAAUAGGUCGCGGUUCCCCUCAAAACCGUGGCCUAUUAUCCCUGCAAAAAUUCUGAAAUUGCCCCCAGGCCAGGCUUGGAAUAAAUUAGGAGACAGGGAAUAGACCUCGGUUGCUUGGGGAACCGCGACCUAUUCCCCUAAGUCAAGGAAUAGGCCUCGGUUGUUAGGGGAAUCGGGGCAUAAGGUGUGCAAAAAAUUUCAAAAUUGUCAUUUCAGAUCAAUUUUAGAUUUUUUUUUUUAUCAAAAUAGGCCUCAGUUAGUAUGGAAACCAUGGUCUAUUCCACUCUAUUACAUCAGUUGUAUAAUGAACCGCGAUAGUAACAUUUAAUUAGGUUAAAAAAAUAUUACAGUAAACAGUUUCAUCUUCCACACGAAAUCUCUGAAACUGAAAUCUCUCUUAAGCUCUCCUCUCUGUCGUGCCUAUUCUUUUUUAAGCCCUCCUCUCCACCACGUCCAUUCUAUUUAUUUUCUUGUUUCUGGCGCUUCGUGUGUCUUCUUGGAGUGUCUCUUAUCCGUUUGAUCAAUGGAUUUUUUCAAUGAACCGUCUACUAUAAGGGUAAUCAACAUCGUCAAGUUUGGAUUUUGAGAUUGGAAACUCGUGUUGCAGCCACUUACUGGUGCUGGAGGGGUCACAAUUGAGGUGUGGUUUUCUUUUUACAUGACUAUUUGUUAUUCGAUUCUAAUAUUCAAUGAGAUUGUAUUGGUGUGUGCUUCAAAUCUGAAAUCUGAACUUCUUGUUUCAUAUCAAAGUUGUUG